rnacentral:rRNA from 1 species
UGGGGAAUUUUGGACAAUGGGCGCAAGCCUGAUCCAGCAAUGCCGCGUGCAGGAUGAAGGCCUUCGGGUUGUAAACUGCUUGUGUACGGAACGAAAAGACUCUCUCUAAUACAGGGGGUUGAUGACGGUACCUGAAGAAUAAGCACCGGCUAACUACGUGCCAGCAGCCGCGGUAAUACGUAGGGUGCGAGCGUUAAUCGGAAUUACUGGGCGUAAAGCGUGCGCAGGCGGUUAUAUAAGACAGUUGUGAAAUCCCCGGGCUCAACCUGGGAAUUGCAUCUGUGACUGUAUAGCUAGAGUACGGUAGAGGGGGAUGGAAUUCCGCGUGUAGCAGUGAAAUGCGUAGAUAUGCGGAGGAACACCGAUGGCGAAGGCAGAUCUCUGGGCCGUAACUGACGCUGAGGAGCGAAAGGGUGGGGAGCAAACA